UUGAAAUUAGUUCAUUGCUUCUAAGUAGUGGCAGUGAGUCAUCUGUGAUUGCUCAUGUCUCUGCCUUUGUCUGACUUCAAAUAAUUCUUUCCCUCCCCUUCAGAGCUUCUUUUCAAAACAUUGUCCCUUUCCUGGAAUGUCCUCUUCUACUGACUAUUGAAAGUCACAUUUCAUGGUGUGGCUGUACGGUAUUUUAAGAUGCCUUUAGUGCUACUGGAAGAUGACGUUACCAUAAGGUAACCAAAUCCACUGUGCUCUCCCCAUCUCCACAGUGAAACUGGAAUUCCUCAAGAUCUUAGCCUAGGCUCACAUUCAUAACCAAGUUUCUCUCACUUCCUCUUUGCUUCAGGGAGGAACACAGCAUAUGACCAGAGCAGGUGUAACUCUAAUGUUUAGGGAAGUCUUUGGAAGAAAAGUAGGGUUAAGAGACUAUUAAUGUCAUUACAGAAGUCCUUGCUCCAAAAGUGAGUAACAGGUGUCCUAAAUACACAGGUUCAGAAGCUAUAGGAGAAAAAGAUGCAGCUCUUCAGAGCAAUGUUGAUUACAAAUAACUCCCCACAUGGGGAUGAAUACUAAACAGUUCAAGCAGUCCUUCAUUGGAUUGCCCUGCCCAGAAGUAAGGCAGGAGAAAAACAUUUAUUUAUUUAUUUAUUUAUUUUUCAGAAGAAUGUGAAGUAGUGAGGUUUUCCCCAGAGAAAGGAAUUAUGAAUCCCUAUUUGCCACAAACAGGAAAAAUACAAUUCCAAAACAGAAAUUAUCUUAAAUGAGGAAGAGAAACUUAAGUCUGAAAAUGUCCACAUGGGUUGUUUUGACCACAUAGAUGCUUUUCCUCAACUUUUAUUAAAUUGGAAGAAACAUUGAUUUUUCUCUCACAAGAUGUUUUAAGCUUUAUGUACAGUGUUUCACAGUGUCUAGACAUCUUUGUUGUUUAUUUGUUUUUUCUGUUACUCUAGAUUUUUUUUUUUCCUUGGAAAUCUCUCAUUACUAAUCUCAUUUUCCUUAUCCACACUGUUCUUUUACUGUUCCUCCAUCUGUCCACGUUCUUCUUUUCAGUCAAUGGGUCUUCACAUUCUAGAAAUAUUUGCAAAUAUUUUGAAAUUGUGAUGGUUCUUUGGUGUAGCUUAUUUUACAUGAAAAAUGACAAAUUAAUGUAGAAAACAUCCUAAGCUUAAAAAGUGGUUAUAAUUUUACAAAGUGUUUCUAUUGGAGCAAAUUUUUCUUGAACAAUCUGAGCCUUUUCAGACUGUCAUUUAACAGAAGACUGUAAGACUUAGACUGUGUGUCCAUAUUGGCAUAUGACAGCAUUCUUACUCAUUGCCCAUGAAGUUUCAUAUGCAAUAUAAUCACACAUGAAUAUAUUAAUUAUACUGUUCCCCUGAGUGUUAUAAUGUUAACUUGCAGUGCUCAAUUCAGAGCAAAAUAAAAAAUAAUGAGGUCAGAGGAA